rnacentral:antisense_RNA from 1 species
UCAGAUCUAACUCCAGUCCAAUAUCCCCUAAGACGCCUUCUCUGACCACUCCAGGGCACAAUGAUCUCAAGGUUCAGCAUCUCCAGAGAUGAGCUUUCCAAAUACCUGAUGAAGAUAUGCAUGAGUCAGUGAUGCCACAAAAUGCCACAGAAUAUCAUGGAGAGAAGUGGUUUGGAUGACAUUACACAGAAGCCAGUUGAAAGCCUGAAGAAAUGACGGUUAAAUGAGUUCAAGAAUAAAAUACAUGAGUUUAAAAAGUACUCAGAAAUAAAGUACCUCCAUCGAUUAAGGCUUCAAAGAAAGAUACUAGAAAAUCUUUUUUAAUUAAAAAAAAAAUACCUUAUAGUUUUA